rnacentral:rRNA from 1 species
UACGUAGGGGGCAAGCGUUGUCCGGAAUUAUUGGGCGUAAAGAGCUCGUAGGCGGUCUGUUGCGUCGGCUGUGAAAACCCGGGGCUCAACUCCGGGCCUGCAGCCGAUACGGGCAGACUAGAGUUCGGCAGGGGAGACUGGAAUUCCUGGUGUAGCGGUGAAAUGCGCAGAUAUCAGGAGGAACACCGGUGGCGCAAGCGGCUGCCUGGGUAUGACCUGACACUGAGCCACGACGGCGUGGGGAGCAAACGGG